rnacentral:lncRNA from 1 species
AUAUGGGAAAAUAUUAGUUUUGAUUGAUAUAAUGUUAGUCGAGGCAAUACUAAUAGUAGUAGACUCUAAGAGAAGAAAGAGGGAUGUUGGACCCUUUUGAUGUGAGCAGGCUGGGCUGGACGUGAACACAAACAAAUAACUAUUAGUCGCCCCUCUGAAUUGGACUAAGAUGGAGUCAAACCAUAACUCCAAAUGCGCUCUCGAGUGUACAUGUAAAAAUAGAGAAAGGAAAGAUAAAGAUUAGCAAGAAACUUCAAGUUUUAGCAUGUUUUUAAAGUGUAAAGAAAAGACUAGUGCGAAUAACGUUACGGUCCUAAAAGUAAUCUAGGUCCUAAAAGUAAUCUAGCACUUUGAGACACAAUAUAAAUUUAAGGCCACAGUCACAAAGUCGCUAGGCCCUUCAAAUCAAAUUAGUUGUCUAAGACCUUUUCACAAAAAAAACAGUCAUUUACGUCCAGCUACUUAUUGCAAGCUCGAGCUGUUAUAAAAUUGAGGGUAAAACAAACUAUAAGAAGGUAGUUUACUUAUUAAAGUAAGAGAAUUACAAGCUUUAUAUACUUCCAGAUUGAUCAUAAGUUGAAUUAUAGAAUUUAAGGACACUUUCAUAUGACUUCACUUGUCCAGGAAACACACACAGUAUGUUCUUUAACAUAAAAAAAGGGCUGAAGCUAAUGGUUUCAUUCCGAGAUCACCUUAAUCAAGCUUCCAACGUGGCUUUUACACAAAGCUGGAUGCAAUCUUAAUUUUUUUUUUAAAUCUUUAAAGAAAAUGUAUUAAACAGCCACACGUACGGGUUCGUACUUUAGACGGGGGUAGACGAGAUAACAUAGAGAUACUAAAAAUAUGAAUCAAAUUACUAGCGGCCAAAGCUGUGACAUCUUAAAGCCAGCCACUAUUUACCUUAAAGAAUACUCAUAUUCUCACAUAUUCUCACAUGAAUAUUAAACAGAUAAAAGAUGGAGACAAACUGCUGAUUUGAGAUCGAACAAUAUUAUGGUCAAACAAACAAGUUUCUUGCGAAACUCUAUUCGUCCCAAAUCUAAAGGAGCAUCUAAACCCAAAGCAACCAAGGUUCUGAUUUCAGGAUCAAUAGAAAACUAGAGUUGCAAAACUACUACAUAUUUUAUUCUCUAUACUGCCACAUAUAUAGAAUGAUAGAUAAUCAGGACAAAGACAUAUCGCUAAUACAAAAUAACAAAAAAGUCAAAACGGAGUAGGAACUCUUUUUCCAGCCGAUACUGACGCAAAGAAAAAAUUCGAAUAAGAACAAAGCAGAAAGCUCACAAUCAAGAUAUCAAAACAGUGAUUACUUAAAUAUUAUUCAAAUAUAUCCCCUCCAAGGCUUGGAUCAAAACAUAAAGAAGAGGCGGGAGAAACUGUGAGAAGCAUGUUUAUCUUGUAUUAACAAGACAGGAAAGAAAUCUCAAGUGGCAUAAUUUUAGUCGAUUUUUAAAAAAAAGUUUACUAACAAACUUGUAGCCUCCCUUCAUUGUUUUCCUUGUUUAUAUUUCUACAUAUAUUUUCUUUAUAGAAAAGAAAAUUAUGUGCUGAGAACAUGAUAGACAGACCAUAAAAAAUCAUGCCACAAAAUUAGAUAAGAACUACUAUGCAUCUUAUUUUCGAAAAUAAACAGCCAGGAAAUAUGAACAACAGGAGUACAAAGUUCAGAUGGAAAAGAUAACAAUAGAGUCGAGAGGCGAUGGAAUCGCUCUCAUAUACUCAAAACAGCCACGUACUUUAAGACAACACAUGAUUUGAUUCACUGAUAAACAAAUAUGCAAUGCCCAAAACAAGAUGAACGACCACAUACACAUAUUCACAUAUACACAUCCAAACAGGGAAACACAGUAAAUAAGGAGAUUUACAUACUUUCGCUUCCAACAGUCCCAAAUUCGAAUCAGGAGGAAACAAAAUUGAACCCAAUUUGUAAAUAACGAACAACACACCAUCACACCCUAAUUUGAAGCCAAAAUAUCAUGUUUCACCUAUUUACAGACCUGGUGUUAUAUUUACACACGGGCUAAAUCCACAAAAGUCAUAAUUUUCUUUUAUCCACAAAGGCAAUGGAAAACCAAUAACAACCAGACUUAAAAAUAGAAUAGAAUCACACAUUUUAAACCAAACGAGAUAAAGAAAUGAUGAACAAAGAAAAUAAGGGGGGAGAUUCGCACCUAGUGCUGUGCAGCAAAACUGAGGCUUUCUGUCGAGAAUUCUCUGGCUACCAGAUUCAAACUCGGGGACUCAAAAUUCCGACCGAAAUUGAGGAUUAAACAAAGUGAUUUUCACCAUCAUUUGCUUGCGAGGUUUUCAAACGUUAGACUAUUUUUUUCUAUUUUUUCCUUACCAAAAAACCAACCUCCUCUCUAGAGUGAAAAAAUGAGACUAUUUAUAGGAAAUCCAGACUAGAAAGUCCAAAUUUUAAAUCAAAAAUCAGAGAAGCCAACGGGCAAAUCAAAGGGGAGGAAAUUGAAAUUUCAAAAAUUAAAAGAGACAAAUCCCUCCUCGAAUUUGGACGAUUCUCGGGCCUUUAAUGUGGAUUUUAACAUUGUAUCACCAUUUUAGGUCUGAUUUUACUGCCAACAGGGAAAUCGCGGGUCGGGGGAGAUGAAAUUUGGACGAAUCUUCGCAGAGGUACGACUGAGGUGACACAGCUAUGGAGGUUUAGGGUUUGUUGGUGAUUGUGACUUGUGAGAGCAGAAGAAGGAAUGGGCAAUUGUUGUUGCCGUUUUUCUAUUAUACUUAGUUUAAAUGCACGUUUGUUUAUUGAAAAGUUUUUUUAGUGGAAUGUAAAAAGUUUAAAUCAUUUUUUAAAAAAUCUUCACAUUUUAAUAUAAUUAAAUAUAAAAUAUAUUUUAUUGUAAAUACAUAUAUAUUUUUAUCAUCAUAAAUUUUAAGUUGUUAAUGAAUCGUCAUUUUUCUAUUUAUUGUAUGAUUACUUCUUUUUUUAUAUUUUAAUUUUUUUGUUAUGGUUAAAGUUAAAUUUUUAGAAAAAUUUUGAUUACUUAAAACUUUUAGAAAUUUGAUAGUUUCUUUAUUUUUUUCUUAUUCUAACUCUUUCAUGUUUAUUUAUAUAUUUUUUAAAUCUUCUUAAAAUCAACUUUAGUUGAUUUAGAAGCUUCUAUAUGUUAUGAAACCUUAUAUGUAUUUUGAUUCACUAUAUUUAGUGGAUACAUUUCAUAUCCAGAAAGGUAGAAAAUAAUUUUCCUUCUUUAGUAACACCUUUUCUCUCUAUGAAAUCUUAAAAUAUAAUUCUCUACUUAAAAAGUCCAAAUCAUAACAGAUAUAACAAGAAAGUUAUGUGAGAAUAAACAUCAAAUGAUAUUUUCAGGAAAUGCAUUUUUUUUUAUUUUAUAGAUAACUCAUUUUUACUUGUCAUAAGAAAAUAAGUGAACUUACCCCCUCUCGUACUUAUUGUGCCCAACACACGUUUAAUCGCGACCCCCUACACUACCACCCUAUGACAAGUUGUUCGUAGGUUAACCAUGAUGAGUAUAUAUCGUAUGAAACUGGAGAGUUUAAAAAUUUCAAAAUAAAAAAUAAAAAAACCAACAUUGAAGCGUUUAAUAUAGAAGAAACAUGUUCGUUUAAUUUUUUUUUUUUUGGAUUAUAACUAUCAUUAUUUUUGGUAUCAAUAUAACUAUUUUUGAAAAAUAUUAUCCCAUAGCCGUACAAAACUCGUUACUUAGUUAGCAUAAGAGUCCGAAUACAAUGAAAUUUUAAAUUCAAUUAAUUCAGCCUCCAAGAAUUUCUUCUCCAAUAUAUUUAGGAUUGUUUAACUUUUGAAUAAUUAAUUUAUAAUUGAAGAAAAUAAGUAAAACGAUAAUUUUAUCUAUUGAGGGGUAUUUUAAUGAAAGGUAAAAAGUUUAAACAAUAUUUCUAAAGCCCUUCACACUUUUAAUAUAUGAAAACAUGUGUUGCACGUUUAUUCCUAAAUAUUUAAUAUACUUAAAUUGAUUAUGUAAAUAAUAAUUUUGAAGUAUAAAAAAGUGGUGUGUGUAUAUAUAUGUAUAUAUUUCCUCCAUUCCUUUAGUUGCUCCAUUUGGGUUGGGCAUACCCUUUAAUAAGACCUCCUACUCUUAUAAAAUUUAAAGUAAUUCAACCAAUAUACCACUAAUUAAAUUUAUUCCUCUUUCUAAAUCAAUAAUGGUUGCAUUUAUUGAACAAGGACAUAAUCGAAAGAUUUUGUUCAAACUAUUCUUGAAAGAUUAAAGGAGCAAAUAUUUAGGAUUAUAAAAAAAUCCAAAUGUGCAAAUAAAAAUGAAUGGAGAGAGUAUUAUUCAAAUUUCUUUAUGCUAUAAAAUAAAAAUCAAAAGAUAUAAAAAAAAAAGUAACAACUUGUAGGAGGAUUAGAAAAUCUUGCAAAUUUAAUGUCACUUUAGCGAUAUAUAUAAUCUAUUAAGUUAAAUAUAUAUAUGUAAUAAAAAUAUUUACCUCAUAAAUUAACAAUUAUGCACAUUCAUCCACCUCGAGAUCAAAUUCUUUAGCAACAGAAUCACUCUCAUUCUUUUAACUUCUCCACUAUUUACUUCAAAAAUGUAUACCGCAUUGCCAAUAAUUACCUGUACAUAUCGAUCUUAUGGAGAAGAGAAGCGACCAUAAAUAUAUGAAUUAAAACAGUAUAAGAUAGAUGGUGCCAAAUUAAAUUAUGAAUAAUGUGUAGUUCCCUCUCAAAUGUCUUUUCAGAACUUCGCCAAAAAUGACUAACAUAAAUAAGUCCAACCUAGGCCUAAUAUUUACUCUUCUUUCAAUAAUUUUCUUGAACACAAAAGUACUUGGUACAACAUACUCACGGCCUACGGUCACUGUCCAUGCACAAAAUGUUUUGUGCUAAUAUUCUGCUAUUCUUAAGUUGUUUUGAAGGUCAAUUCUUAUGCUGUUGUAACAUUGUAUAAUCCCAUAAGUCGGGUUUGGGGAAAAUAAGAUGUAAGCAAGCAGACCAUACCCUUAUCUUUUCAGGACAGAGAAGUUGUUACCCUCGGCUAAAAAAAUAAUAAAUUUAGGCGAAUUUGCUAAAAUUUAUUUAGAUUCUAGCUAAUGAAUAUCAAUCAAGAUAACUAUGAAAUUGGUCUUUCGGUAGUUGAAAGAGUCUGUCUAACAUAGAAAAUUGACUACAAGGAAGACCUUACCUUAUUCAGUAUUUAUGCUUAUAGGUUAUAUAGGUUGAUAGCAGAUCACUUGAUAAAUUAGACAGUGUAUGCCUAGCCAAACAACAUCACAAUGUCGCACUCUUUUUUUUUAACUCCAAAAAUAUAUAUUUUUAAGUUUGAAAGGGUUUUUAUUAUUAAAGUGACAAAAGAUUAAAAAUUUAUUUCGAAAAGGACUUUUACAUUUUAAUUCAGAGUCUCCACUUGACAUAACUCGGGUGUGCCAAGUCACCUUUGAAAAUCCUUUUCAAAAAUAGUUUGACUCUAUAAACUGAUUCGCGAAUAGAGAUUCUAACUAAGGAAUUCUGUUAAUCGAGGGGAAGGUGUUAGGCACUCCUCGAUCCUGUGGUUCGACCACGGUCGCUUGAUAGAGCGUAUCGGCUAAUUUAACACUAUGAAUGUAUAAGCCACAGAAAACACACAAACAAACAUUAAACAAAAAUCUAAAACCAAAAUAAUAAUGUUCAGUCCAAUUAUACAGUCCAAAAAUAGAAAAAUGCGAGAAAAGAAAUCCUAUUCUAUCCUACGCUAACCUAACUACGCUCCUGCGCUUUACCCGAUGCCUCGGGCCUUCAUCACGAAUGUCUUCCAUCAACAUAAUACAUCAAGGAAUUCCUCGAAAAAUAAACACAAAUCCUCGGGGCAUUCCCAGGCCAAAUAGUACAUUUUAAUCCAAACACAAUAAAUUAUAAAACAUUCAACACACAUUUCACAUUCUAACAUUCCACAAGACACUUAAUCCUAAAUUUGCUUACCAGAACCUACAUUGGCCUAUCCAUUUCAACAUAUCAUAAUUCCAUCACGUUCCACAUUAAAAAUCGAACAAAAUUAAUCCUAAUCUACUCUUUUUGUUAAAUUUUUAAUUCCUUCCCCCAACUUCCUUUUUAUCGAUCACGCUAUUAAAACUAAUCAAAUUCAUUCCUCAAACAACCAAAGUCACAUCAUCAAGUGCAUGGUCAUAACAUCAACAACAUCGAACAUUCAUAAUCACAACAUCGAUAUACCAAGUUAAAAUAAGAUAAGAAGCAAAAGUUGUAGAGAUGGACCUUCCGAUAAUUGGCUUUUGUUGAUAAUAAGAAUUAAAGAAGCCCGACCUUGGAACUUCGAAUAGAACCUCAACAGCGACGACUCUGACCUUGAUAUCAAGAAAACUCAAAAAAAAAACUCCAAAACUGAUCUUGAUGGACUGAUGAUACGAACAGAAAAACCAAACCCCGAAAUAGGAACAACACCCAAUGAAUCCCGAAGCCCGAUUUCGAUGAUGAAAUGCAAAACAGAAGAACCCAAAACUCUAAUACAUGACAGAACCUGAAAACCAGUAUAACCAGAGCUAACAAAAUCGUGAGACUAAGAAAUUUGGACUGGGUUUUAACGAGCUGGAACAGAACCGAAAACAAAUCGAGAUUCGCUUGACUGUUUUAAGUCGGUGCAACUCCGGUAACCUCAGAGAUGACUGAAAACAAUAAAGAAAUAUCGAUUAUAAUGUAUUGCGAUGGGUUUGACCAGAUUCGUAAUGGCUUUGAUGCCUUUUCGGCGAGUUUGUCGUCGAAACAGUAACCAACUCACGAACUCGCGUUCUCUUAGCUCUCACGCCCACCUCUACUUCGUUCUCUCUCUCGUUGUUCAAAUCUCUCUCUUGUUUAAUCUCUCUCAGAUCUGGGUGUGUGCGUGAGUUCUAGUGAGGAUAAUUGUGGAGAAGAUGAUGGAUGUUUGGUGCGAAGAAGAAGAAAAGGAGAAGAGAAAAAAAAUGGCGUCCCCUCUUUUCCUAUGUGCGUCCCCUUUGUUAUGUAUAAUGGAAAAAGAAUGAGUACUACCCUUCCUUGAAGGUUUCUCUUAUUUUUGUUUUUAGUCCAUGUUUCUUUCUUUGUGGACAAGAAAAAGAGAGGGUGAGGUGUUGUUUUUUAAUUGAAGGGGUAAGGAUUAGGUGUCUUAUUUUAAUUGAAAGGGUUGUUAGGAUAUUUAAAAGAAAUAAAGUUUGUUAGGGAUUUUGCUGAGAGUUUUUUUUUAAUUAUUUUUGUAGAAUGUAAUUACAUGGGUAGGGUAAGGUAAAAAUGGGUAAAAUGAUAUCGGGGAGGGACGAAAUUACGUGUCUACAUCAUGCCCCCUUUGAAUGUAAAAACGCAGCGUUUUCAGACAAAGAAGUAAACAACGAGACCGAAUUUUGUCCCGAUCUUUAUUCAAAGAGAGGAGUAAAAGAAAGAAGGACAAUCGAAUCCUGUUGGACACCCUAUCUACCUAAGUCAUGAGGAAGUCACAAGUAUCUAAAGGGUUGGAAGAGAUGUGGACUAUAUUGAGUUGGAGAGUUGAGUGAGGUUCCAUCGAGGUUCCGGUUCGCGGCUCUGUCAUUACAUCAGAAAUAAAAAUUACAAGUUAAAAAAAAAUAAAUGAAUUUACAAAAUUCUAUCUAUACAGCUUCUGAUGGCUCUUGACUCGGCUUUUAUCACCCUAUUCUUCAGGCGGGCUCCUAAUUUGCAAUUUCUUCAGCUUGUUGCUUGCCUUUUAAUUUCUUCACCCUGUUCUCCAGGUGGGCUCCUGACUAGUUAUUUUAUCAUCCUAUUCUUCAGGCGGGUCCCUGAAACCCAAAAUUAAAACUAGAACGAAAUUAUUCCAAACAAAAAUUAUAGUAAAGUAGUAUUUCAUUUUUGAAAGCGUUGUCCCAUUUUCCAGUAGGUUCCUGAACAGAAAGUAAAGUUCCAUUUUUCAGGAGGGNNNNNNNNNNNNNNNNNNNNNNNNNNNNNNNNNNNNNNNNNNNNNNNNNNNNNNNNNNNNNNNNNNNNNNNNNNNNNNNNNNNNNNNNNNNNNNNNNNNNNNNNNNNNNNNNNNNNNNNNNNNNNNNNNNNNNNNNNNNNNNNNNNNNNNNNNNNNNNNNNNNNNNNNNNNNNNNNNNNNNNNNNNNNNNNNNNNNNNNNNNNNNNNNNNNNNNNNNNNNNNNNNNNNNNNNNNNNNNNNNNNNNNNNNNNNNNNNNNNNNNNNNNNNNNNNNNNNNNNNNNNNNNNNNNNNNNNNNNNNNNNNNNNNNNNNNNNNNNNNNNNNNNNNNNNNNNNNNNNNNNNNNNNNNNNNNNNNNNNNNNNNNNNNNNNNNNNNNNNNNNNNNNNNNNNNNNNNNNNNNNNNNNNNNNNNNNNNNNNNNNNNNNNNNNNNNNNNNNNNNNNNNNNNNNNNNNNNNNNNNNNNNNNNNNNNNNNNNNNNNNNNNNNNNNNNNNNNNNNNNNNNNNNNNNNNNNNNNNNNNNNNNNNNNNNNNNNNNNNNNNNNNNNNNNNNNNNNNNNNNNNNNNNNNNNNNNNNNNNNNNNNNNUAAAGUCCCAUUUUUCAGGAGGGUCCUGAGCAGAAAGUAAAGUCCCAUUUUUCAGGAGGGUCCUGAGCAGAAAGUAAAGUCCCAUUUUUCAGGAGGGUCCUGAGCAGAAAGUAAAGUCCCAUUUUUCAGGAGGGUCCUGAGCAGAAAGUAAAGUCCCAUUUUUCAGGAGGGUCCUGAACAGAAAGUAAAGUCCCAUUUUUCAGGAGGGUCCUGAGCAGAAAGUAAAGUCCCAUUUUUCAGGAGGGUCCUGAAUAAAAAGUAAAGUCCCAUUUUCCAGGAGGGUCCUGAACAGAAAGUAAAUUCCCACGGAUGUGCAUUUCCAAUGGUAGCUGAAUUAAGUGAAGCGAAUCUGCCCCUAUUUCAACAAAGAAAAUUUGUCAGUUAAAAACUUAGUGGUGGCUUGCAGCUCUUGGAUUCUCAGGUAUCUGCCCCAGCACUCCUUCCUUUCAUCUUUGUUCCAAAUCACUGGCACUUGCCCUGUCUUACCGCAUUAUUGACCUGGAUCUAGAUUGAGGGAAAUGAGUUCUGACUCGAACAAUGGGUUUCUAUUUUACCAUGCAUUUGAGGUGCACCCUUUUCCCAAAUCUGAAUGCUUCCAUGAAUCCAACAGCCUAUUGGUUGAUAGACUUCCUUUGCUUUGCAUUGAAUUACGAUCAUAUUUCUUUCAUGUGCUGGUCCUUGACUUUUUCUCAUAUAAUUGGAAAGACUGGUAGUAAAUUUUGAAAUUCUUUCUCGCUUGUUUUGGCACAGACUUGACUUAAAAUGUAAAGAAAUGAUGGUGACUUUUAUUUUGAUAAAUGACAUAAAAAGGCAAAAAACUUGAAUAUUUAGAUGAAAGAAAAGGGCAAUGUCCCACAUUCAAAAAAGAAAACUUAUCUGAAUACGGCAAUCCACUCCAAUGAGUAUGACAUGCAUUUUGGAUUAAGCUGCCUGAUAUUCCUAUCCAAACUCCUUAUUUGUUGUUGAGUUCGUGCCUUUGCCGCUGAGCCGCUCAUUCAAAUCCGUUGGACUCAUACAUCACAUUCAAUUGACAACAUCUUAAAAGGCUUUUGCCAACAAGUCUCUUUCUUUUCACUUUUUUCUUGAACUCGCCAUCGCCUUACGGUGCCCAUGAGGGUUUUCACCAAUAAGAGUCUUUCAUUUUUAUUUCUUUCCACUCACCAUCGCCUUAUGGUGCCUGCGAGGGUUUUCACCAAUAAGACUCUCUCAUUUUCAUUUCUCUUAACUCACAUCGCCUUAUGAUGCCCACGGGGUUUUUUACCAAUAAGACUCUCAUUUUGUAUUUCUUUCCUGAUUUCUUAUGCUGAGGGAGACACAUGGUACCUCACAAUGUAUCAUCAUAUCCAUUGCAUGCUUAGCCUUAACAUUAUCAAAAAUUGAUCUAAAGGACUUUCUUUGGUUGUAACUUGGCUUUUGGAUAAGGUUAGAAAAUGAUGACAAGGGGUUCAAACGACACUUGAAGUGGGGGUGGGACUUACAACUUUUGGAAUCGACUCAAACAAUACAUUAACUCAUGCCCCCAUUUUUGUUGACUGGGUGAAUCUUAAAUCUUUAUUUGGUUGGACCGAGCCCGAAAUAGGGCAGCCUACGCAUCUCACUCCCGAGAGAGGAGAAUCAGGUCGCACGUAGUUCCAUAAGUUUGUUCUUUGUUUUAUUUUGAUUUUUUUUUUUGAACUCUUUCUUUUAUUCUUAUUUUCUUGACAUUUAUCUUUGACUCUAUUUUGAUUCCAAAAGAGGGAUAUGAAAGAAAAAAUAAAACGAAGCUCAAACGGGUAAACAAAGGAUGACACAAUGUUUGGAUAGAAGAAUAAAAUGCCUUCAUCAUAUCAAAUAAAAUGCCUUCAUCAUAUCAAUCUUAAAAAAUGAAAGUACUAAACAUGCAAUAAAAUCAACAAAGGAUAAAAUAUCAUACAUAAUAUCUUUUGACUGCAUCAACAUUGAUAGCCAUUUCUGCCAUUUUACCUUCAAUAUCUGUCAAAUAUAAGGCUCCAUUGGGCAAACUUUUUUCACAAAGAAGGGACCUUGCCAGUUAGGGGAGAACUUGCCUUUCGCUUCAACCCGGUGAGGAAGGAUACGUUUCAAUACCAACUGACCAACUUCAAAAUUCCUGGGACGGAACUUUUUGUUAUACUCUCGAGCUAUCCUCCUCUGAUACAACUGGCCAUGACACACAGACGUUAGCCUUUUUUCCUCAAUCAAACUCAAAUUCUCCAGUCAGGUUUUUACCCAUUCGUCAUCAUCAAUCUCUGCUUCUACAAUGACUCGAAGAGAGGGAAUUUUAACUUCUGCAGGGAUGACUGCUUCUAUCCCAUACACUAAUAAAUAUGGAGUUGCCCCUGUUGAAGUACGAACAGUGGUGUGAUAACCUAGCAAUGCAAACAAUAACUUUUCAUGCCACUGUGCAGACCCUUGUACCAUUUUUCGCAGUAUCUUUUUUAUAUUCUUUUUGGCGGCUUCUACAGCACCAUUGGCCUUUAGGUGAUAUGGAGUAGAAUUUCAAUGUGCGAUCUUAAACCGUUGACACACUUCUUACAUCAAAUGACUAUUGAGAUUGGUAGAAUUGUCUGUAAUAAUCAUCUUAGGAAUUCCAAACCUACAAAUGAUGUUGGCGUGAACAAAAUCUACCACAACCUUCUUUGUCACUGAGUUGAAAGUUACUGCUUUCACCCACUUUGUGAAGUAAUCAAUGGCUACCAAAAUGAAUCUAUGUCCAUUUGAUGCCUUCGGCUCAAUCGGUCUAAUCACAUCCAUUCCCCAAGCCACAAACAGCCAUGGAGCGGCCAUUGCAUGCAACUCAGUAGGAGGAGAAUGUAUCAGAUCACCGUGUACCUAACAUUGAUGACACUUUCGAACAAAUCGAAUAAAAUCCCUCUCCAUAGUAAGCCAGUAAUAACCUGCUUGAAGAAUCUUCUUUGACAAGACAUGAUCAUUCAUAUGCAACCCGCAUACUUCAGAGUGUAUUUCAACCAUGAUUGUCGAGUCUUCUCUUGCAUCUACACACCUCAAAAGUCCUAGAUCUGGGGUCUCUUAUAUAAGAUCCCCCCACUUAAGAAAAAUCCACUAGCCAAACGCCUAAUAGUCCUCUUUUGAUCGUUGCUGGCAUAUGUUGGGUAUUCUCCUGACUGAAUGUAUCGCUUGAUAUCCAAGAACCAGGGUUCUCCAUCAAGCUCUUCUUCAACCGCAUUACAGUAAGCAUACUGAUCACGACUCUGUAUAUGCACAGGAUCGAUGUAGGCUUUAUCAGGGUGUUGGAGCAUUGAAGACAGAGUGUCUAAAGCAUCAUCAAUUUCAUUAUGAAUCCUUGAAAUAUGCCUAAAUUUUACUAACACAAGCCGUUGACAUAACUCCUGCAAGCAUUGUCGAUACAGGAUGAGCUUCAAAUCUCGCGUAUCCUAAUCUCCUUGAACUUGAUGGAUGAGCAAAUCCGAAUCCCCCAACACAAAUAAUUCCUGGACUCCCAUAUCAACAGCUAACCUCAAACCAAGAAUACAAGCUUCAUACUCUGCCAUGUUGUUAGUACAGUAAAAUCAAAGUUGUGCUGUUACCGGGAAAUGUUGUCCUAAUUUAGAGAUAAGAACCGCACCUAUUCCGACUCCUUUUAUAUUGACAGCUCCGUCGAAGAACAACUUCCAACUUGGAUCAGCAUCUAUAACGACUUCAUCGAGACACGAUACUUUUUCGUCAGGAAAAUAUGUCUUUAAUGGCUCGUACUCUUCAUCGAUGAGAUUCUCAGUAAGAUGAUCUGCCAAGGCUUGGGCUUUCAUGGCGGUUCGAGUCACAUAUACAAUGUCAAACUCGGUAAGCAAUAUUUUCCACUUUGCCAAUUGACCUGUCGGCAUAGGCUUCUGAAAGAUAUACUUUAAAUGAUCCAUGCGGGAGAUGAGAUAAGUAGUAUAGGAUGAGAGAUAAUGCUUCAAAUUCUGUGCUACCCAAGUUAGGGCACAACACGUCCUUUCAAGAAGAGUAUACCUGGCCUCAUAUACGGUGAACUUCUUGCUAAGAUAAUAAAUAGCCUGCUCUUUUUUGCCUGUGACAUCAUGUUGACCCAGGACACAACCAAAAGAAUUGUCCAUGACUGAUAAAUAUAAGAUCAAAGGCCUACCAGGCUCUGGUGGUACCAGCAUGGGUGGAUUUGACAAAUAUCUUUUGAUUCUGUCAAAUGCUUCCUGACAUUCUUCAGUCCAUUCUACCACAACACUCUUUUUCAGCAACUUGAAUUUGGGUUCACAAGUGGUUGUGAGUUGAGCAAUAAACCUGCUAAUAUAGUUCAGUCUACCAAGCAAACUCAUUACCUCCGUCCUAUUCUUAGGCGGGGGCAAAUCCUGAAUGGCUUUGAUUUUUAAGGGAUCCAAUUCAAUCCCCCGACGACUAACUACAAACCCCAACAGCUUUUUAGAUGGAACUCCAAAUACACAUUUUGCCAGGUUGAGCUUGAGAUUAUACCUGCAAAGUCUUUCAAAGAACUUUCUUAAAUCUUUAACAUGGUCGGCCCGAAUUUUUGACUUAAUAAUCACAUCAUCCACGUAGACCUCAAUCUCCUUAUGCAUCAUAUCAUGAAACAUAGUGGUCAUGGCUCUCAUGUAUGUUGCUCCAGUAUUCUUCAAACCGAAUGGCAUCACUCGAUAAUAAUAGGUCCCCAUGGUGUGAUAAAAGACGUCUUCUCCGCAUCUUCAUCAUUCAUAAUGAUCUGGUGAUAUCUAGCAUAGCAAUCCACAAAAGAGAAAACCUCGUGUUUAGCAUAGUUUUCUAGAUAAAUAUGGAUGUUGGGCAGUGGAAAAUUAUCUUUCGGACUUGCUUUGUUCAAAUCACAGUAAUCAACACACACUUGAAUUUUGCCAUCUUUCUUUGGUACGGGAAUAACAUUGGAUAACUACAUGGGAUAAUGAGCCACUCGAAUUACUUUGGCUUCAAGUUGUUUCAUGAUUUCCUCUUUAAUUCUAAUACUUACAUCCGUUUUAAACUUCCUCAACUUCUGUUUGACAGGAGGGAAUGCGGGGUCAGUUGGCAAUUUGUGAGCCACUAAUUCAGUGCUUAAACCAGGCAUAUCAUCAUAAGACCAUGCAAAAACAUCAUUAUAAUCAAUUAAUGCUUGAAUUAUUCCAUCUUUUAGCUAUGAAAAAGAAUGUACGCUGAUUUUAGUUUCCCUAACAUCUUCUUGAUUCCCUAGAUUUAUUGGCUUAGUCUCAUUCAAAUUAGGAUUCGGUUUGUCUUCAAACUGUUCCAACUCUUUGCUUAUUUCUUCUAGUGAUUCUUCUUCAUCAUAUUCCCCAUCCUGCUUCAUUACAUCUUGAUUAGUUUGGAUUUUAAGAUUAGGCUGAAAAUUCCGCAUGCAUGUCAUGUCAUUAGAAUCAGCAUAAAGACAACUGUAUUUAAAAAACAAAAUAUAUUAGACAUGAAACAAAAGCAACAUUGCAUUUCAUUAAAUAAAAAGAUAGAAGGGUUUAAGCAUAGAUGCCAACAUAACAUAAACAAAAUAAAAUCUGAAUUACAAUCCUGAAAUAACUCGGAUAAACAGAAAGAAAAAUAAAAUAAACUACCAAAACUCCCUCCUGACGGGGAGCAGAUUGACUUCCCAAUUAUUGAGUUGGACGGCUGGACCUAUGAAUUGUACGUCUGCCAUACUGGUGCCUUCUCCUGCUUCGACCAUAUCAACUUCAAUAAAAAGGUUUUGGCAGUUAUCAACCAAUUUAACUUCAAAAUACACAUGCUUCGUGACACCGCUCUUAACAAAUGUUUCACUGAGUAGUGGCAUUGGGUGAGGGAGUGACCAUGUUUCCUUUUUCCUUCCCUUGGCUUUCUUCAGAUCUUCAGCCGUAGGCUCAAAUGCCAGACCAAACGUGCCCACAUUCUUACUCAGACAUAUGGGACAAACUAUACCGUGCAGAGACGCUCCCAAACCCUUUCCUGGCUCAAAUCCAUAUUUCCAAAGUUCACUCACCAUCGUGAUAGAAGCAGAAGACAAUUACGGUCCCGGUAUAACCUGACAUUCAAGGAUAUGAUUCACUUGCACUGUAUAAAAAGUUUGAUAGACGAAUGUCUCCUCUAAGUUAUUUGCUUCAAUAAGAGACAAGUGAGAAUCUUCGCAGGCGGAAAAAUCUUCUUCACCGUGAAUAACCACUUCUUGCCUGUCAUGCUCAAACUUAAUCAUUUGGUGAGUGUAGAUGCAACCGCCUUGGCCUUGUGGAUCCACGGCCUUCCCAACAACAGAUUGUAAGAGGAGUCUAUAUUCAAUACUUCAAACUCUAUGGCAAAUUCAACAGGCCCUAUGAUCAACAUUAGUGCUAUUUCACCAAUAGAGUUUGAUUUUGCACUAUCGAAAGCCCUGACACAUACAUUGUUGGGCCUGAUCCUAUCAACACCAAUAUUCAACUUUUGCAAAGUAGAAAUAGGGUAGAUAUUUGCACCUGAACCUCCGUCAAUCAUAACAUGAGUGACGUAGAAAUCUUCACACUUCACUGUAAUGUCAAGGCCCCGGUUAUGCCCUGUACCUUCAAUAGGCAAUUCAUCGUCAGAAAAGCUGAUCCGAUUGACCUCAAAGAUUUUUCCGACCAUUUUCUCAAGCUGAUUUAUUGUAAUCUCCCUAGGAACAUAUGCUUCAUUUAAUACCUUCAGUAAAAUAUCACGAUGCUUCUUGGAGUGCAACAACAAAGAUAAUAGGGAAAUUUGAGCAGGGGUUUUCUUUACCUGGUCUAUUAUUGAAUACUCUGGCAAUUUUAUCUUUUUCAAAAAUUCUUUGGCUUCUUCUUCGGUGAUAGGCUUUUUGAUAGAUUAUGGUCCACUCAGAGUUGACUUGGACUUUCUUAAACUUUCAGGCAUGAAGCAUCUUCCUGACCUAGUCAAACCCCCUACCUCAUCUACAUCUUCCAUUAUUUCUUUCCCAUGAUAGGUCAUCACGGUCCGCCCAUAAUUCCAGGAAACCCUUUUUGUAUCAACUAUCGAAGGUUGGGUCAUCGGUUUGAGGACAAUACGCACUUUCAGUGCUCCUUUCACCAUCAAGAUGGGCUGACUCAAAGCUCCUACCAUUGUUAACUUAGAUUUAUCCUGACUUAAAUCAACAUACCUUUUAGCAUCCUGUACUAUGAUCAGGGGUUUCUUUGUGCUUUCUUGGGCUUUAUCUUCUCUUAUUCCUUCCUGGCUUAAUGAUAUUGCUUUCAAAGACUCUACUACAUUCAUCGAUUUCUCCUCAAUGGUCUGUAUCUUGACAAUUGGCUUAUAACACCUUGAAGACUCUUUCCAUCAUAUAUCAAUUCUAACAUAUUAGUUUCAACAUGGGUUGGCAGCGGAUUAUGGUUAAUGUUUCGACCCUUCGGGGCUUGGACCAGCAUCUGAUUUAUGUCAAUUAAAUCUUUGAUAGCUCUCUUUAAAUGCUAGCAUUUCUAGAUAUCAUGGCAUGGCAUGUCAGAGCAGUACACACACCUUAAAGAAUAAUCGAGAUUCCUCGGUGGUGGAUUUAAAAGCUUUUCUUGAAUUGGGCUUAAGACCUUCAACUUUCUCAACCUAUCAAACAGGCUAGCAUAUGACUCCACAAGAGGUGUGAAUUGAUUUUUGACCUCCUUCUCUUUCUUAUACUCGGGCCUAGGUUGAAAACUGGGUCUGUAGGGGUUUUGUUAAUUUGGUGGAGCGAAUGGGCGAUUUUGUGGAGCUUGCGCGUGUCACUGCGGGUAAGAAGGGGUUUGGGCAUAUGGCUGCAUGCUAUAUACUGGGUACGGGUGUGGUGGAAUAGAAUAUAAAGGGUUUUGUGGUGGGUAGUAAUGGUGGGGAGAAAUAUAUGGAGCUUGGGUGUAGACUUGGGCUUGGGAUUGGGGAUAGGGGCGAGUUGGUUUUUUAGGAUAGGAAUGGGUUCCAGGUAUGACAGUCACCACUUCCUCUUUCUUCUUUUUACCUCCGAAUGCACCAUAUCCACCUUAAAUCGCUUGUGUGGUGGCUUUCAAUGCGAUAAAACUCACUAUUCGACCGGUCUUGAUUCCGUUAUCUAUUAUCUCCCUCAUUUUGAGGACUUCAAUAAAAGACUUUCCUAUUGCCGGAAGUAAAUGUUGAAAAUAGGUCUUAUCCUGUGCCUGAAUGAAAACCUCUACCAACUUACUUUCUUUCAUUGGAGGCUUUACCCUGGUGGUCUGUUCACGCCACCUUAUCGCAUAUUCCCUAAAACUUUCAGCGCUUUUCUUCUUCAUGUUGACUAAGGAUUUUUCAUCCGAAAUCAGGUCGAUGUUAUACUGAAAAUAUUGAACAAACUCAGAAGCUAAGUCUUUCCAGCUAUUCCACUUGUCGAUAUCUUGAUCGAUAAACCAUUCUGAAGCCAGAUCAGAAAGACUCUCGCCAAAGAAGGCCAUGAGCAGCUCUUUCCUUCCUCCUGCAGGCCUCAAUUAGUUGUAAUAACGUCUCAAGUGUGCCACAGGAUCACCGUACCCUGCAUACUUCUCAAACUUGGGCAUUUUAAAACCCAGGGGAAGGUUGACGUCUGGGAAUAUGCAAAGAUCUUUAUAGGAAACACUCUUAUAAUCUCCGAUUCCCUGCAAAUUCCUCAUAGCCUGUUCUAAACUUUUCAACUUUCGUGCUAUGACUUCCUGUUCCUCUAUUGCGAUAGGUUUCUCCAUACCAAAUGGAAAUGCAGGUGGCUGAGUGUACCCAUACGGUUCAUUCAUUCUCAAAGUAGGCUCCGGGGAAUAAUACUGACUAUCUAGAACCUUCAAUACUGGCUCAUUUGCAGACCUACGAAGCCCCAUUGUGGUACGCCGACGCCCAACAUAUAUGGGAUCUUCAGGUGGUGAAGGAGCCACGAAUACCGAUGUGAUCGGUGGCGUCGGCUGAGCAGCGGGUCCUGAUUGGGGAGCUGCCAAGGGCACACCAGAACUACCAGGAUAAUAAUGUCGCGGAGUGAAUCCUGGCGCGUGCUCAGGUGACUCAGUAAGAGCAGAGAAUUGCGCCUGACAGAGCGGUGGGCAAUUAAAGAUAUUCCCAAGACCUUCAGAGAGCGGAGGAGGAGGCAUUCCGCUGGCCCAUGCCCGGUGCAAAUCUAUCAAUUGUUGCCUGAGCCUUACUACCUCAUAAUUGUGUUCUGAACUUUCUUCCCUGUGAUCCUGAUACGGGUCAAUGAGCGAAUUUUCAAUCUCCCUGCUAGCCAUGGCGAGUUUUGCUUUGGCUCUGUGAAGUAUGGGUGACUAGCCAGAGUGCUGCAAACCUACCACUGUUAUCUGAAAGAACAUGAUUAUCAAAGACGACAUCCGUUAGGAUUAGGGCACACAAGCAGCAUGGGAAUCACAUUGGUAAAAUUGUCCUAAAUUCAUGUUCAUUUCUACCAGCUUUUGAGGGUAGCGAGGUCAUUUUAACAUCAUCCCGAUUUUUAUCUACACUUAUUUUUUAUCUACACUUAUUUUUAUCUACACUUAUUAUUAUUAUUAUUAUUUUGCCCUCCUUUCCCUUUUUUUUUCGUAUCAAUCUCUGUUCUUUCCCUUUAUUGUCUCAUCAUCAUUUCUUUCUUUUCUUCUCUCACUAUCUGCCUUCAUUUUAUCAUUCUUUAUGGCUUUUGUUUUUUUUUUCUUUAAAAGAGGAAAAAUAAUGAAAAACAACGAAACAAAAUGAUUAGAUCAAACCCAAAAGCAGGUUGCCUACGUAUAAUGUUGUACAUGAAUCAGAUCUUGCAUAGUUCGGACAGCAUAUGCAUAAACAUCACAUAAUUAAAGUUUUUUCUUUUCUUCUUUUUUCGCGAAAAUGGAAACAAACAAACAAAAGAAAGACGUAACAUUAUAACAUUUUGAUGAAAGAAACAACAAAAACAUACAAAGAAUUUAGGACCACUUUAAAACUAAACAACAAAUACAAAACAACAUUCUAGACCCCUAAGAUGACAUACGUGAAAUUACUAAUAAAGUCCCUGAUAUCAAAAACGACUUGACUUCGACUUAAAGCAGAUACCACCCUACAAUGACAGAAACAUAAAAGAUUCAAACUGAAUAAAGAUAAGAAAUGCUCUUUCAGACUGGUGCUCUGCGUGAUGACCCUGGCUGAGAUGGACCUGCUUGUGAAGUUCUUUUUCUCCCAUUCAAACUUUGUAGCAUAUCCUGUAAAGACACACUGAUAUUAGGGAAGAAGCUUCAGGCCUGUAUUCCUGCCUUAUGAGGAGUGCACUUGGAAAGAUUAUUCUGACACCUUUCUACCAUCUUGAAGAAAUCUACUAACUGAACUCUCAGUGUCUCCACUUUAGACCCCGCACUUUCAUCCUGAUGGUUAUCAACUAUGUAUUCUUUCUGUAUUCUCCCUCUAAGAUGCGCUGGUAAGGGUUGACUGAUACCCUGAGGGAUGGAUUGAAGCCAGACCCCAUAUCCUUGAGUGUACCCCAAAUUAUCCAAACUUUCUUUGAGAGUGUCUACACCUAGCUUUUUUGCAUGCUUCCAGAACUGCUCGUAUUUUCUUUCACCUAAGGCUUGGUCUUUGAAGUACUUAACAUCCUUUAGAAGAUCCACUACUGGUGGCACGUCCUGCAGCCUACCCAACUGGCGCAUUACCUUAGAAGGAUUGUAUGUUCUAGUGCAAUUAAGCCCUAACAUAACUAGAAGGAGAUGCAUUUGACAACCAAACAAGAUUAUCUUUGGUCGAAGCCAUAGACAAGUCCACAAAAUGUUAUCCCUGAUUCUUGACUCAAGAAAUUCAAUCCAAGCGUCGACUCCCACGGGUAGCAAGAAUUUAUCCAAACACAACCUGAGGUCCAUGGCUUUCACUCGAUUGGGAAUACAACGAUCAACCACGUCUGGUCUAACUAAAGAAGGCGCAUGCAAAUGCUCCAUCAUCCAUAACUCCAAUCUCAGGUUACUGCCCUCAAAAAAUAUCAUCCCCGCUUCACUUCGGUUAAAGCCUUAUAUAUUUCUGUUAAGAUCAUGGGUAUGAGAGUGAACCUGCCCUUUUGAUUAAUGCCCUUGUAAUUUUGAUCCUUAUGAAAUAGAGCCAUCACCACAGAUUGCAAAUGUGUAUUAAUACGUCUUUUCUCUAGCGGAAUACUAAAGUACCUAACAAAGCGAGGGUGAAGACUUCAAGACGCUUUCUCUCCCACUUCUCCUUAGUCAUAUGAAAUUCUUCCCAAAAGUAAUCAAAACCUUUCGAGGGCCCGAAUCUAGCGAACAAAAAAUCUAAGGAAACCCAUGAAUUACUUAAACAACCCAAAUGCAUACCCUUACUUUUUAAACCACAAGACUACAAAAACCUCACGCUAGUAUGAUUUCGUGCUCGAAUCAUGUCUUUCUCGAUAUAGGGCAAAUGCAACAAACCGGAUAUUUCUGCCAAAGUAGGAGUCAUUUCAUAUUCCCUAAACCUGAACACCAAACUACUUGGAUACCAAAAGGUCAACACAACCUCUAUUAAAUCUGGACGAGGGUUAACAUGCAGAAGUUUUGUAAGAUCACCUAAUAUUUUAAUUAGUUUCUGCUGAUCAACAUAGUUAAACAUUUUCCACCACUUGAUUAACUUUUUGGGAACUUUGACAACCAUCAGGACUCUAGACUUGGUGGACAAAUCCAUCCUGUAAUAACAUAUAAGACGCUAUCUCAAAAAUUUGAUAGGAGUAGAAGAUUCCCAACCCUUGGGAUUUUUGACGCAGGCAUAUAUCGAUGGGACAGACCAUUUCAUGACUCCAAUUUACCGAACAGAAGUACUGAGAUAAAUCAGUCUACUUGGCUAACAAAUCUAGAUUACAGGGCGAGAGACCUAGGCUAAUAAUAAGACAAAGGCCAAAACAAAGAUUACCGGACCCAUAGAGGGUUGCCUACGUAUCCCAACCCGAGGGAAGGGAAUCAGGUAUGCGUAGUUCAUCCAGAUUGAACAAUUAACGAUUAACUAAUAAAUUGAUCCUAACUUAAGAGACACAACCAAAAACAAACGAAUAAAAACUUUUAUUUUGAUUUUCAACUAGACACUUCAACUAAGACUGACACCACUAAUUAUGAAGAAAAAUCUUUUUGGUAUUUUUACUUUUGACAAACAAGUAGAAAAUGCAAACAAAACCUUUUUUUUUCUUUUUUUUGUUGAACUUACGGUACUUUGAGAAGAUAAAUGCAAAACGUAAAAAAAAUCUUUUUGAGUUUUUGGAUUGUGAAGAACAAAAGCAAUAAAGAACUCUAAAAUAACUAAGACACUCCGUUUGAUUCAUUCUUUUCGACUCACUUUUUCUAUUUUUUUUUCGUUUUUGCUUUUUGUCUACGCACCUUACUCCUAACAAAUGUUUUUUUUUUAAAUCAGUCAAUCAAAUGACCACAUUACCCUUAAAGAUGCAACAGUUAGUACGUAGGGAUGCUUUACAGGUGAGUCUCCUACAAAGGGCCAUGUGGGUUCCGCUAGGUCUCAGUAUGAUGUACACAAGCAUGAGCUAAAGGCUGACCUACAUUGUGGUUCACUAACAAGGCUAUUCGGGGGAGCGUAUGGUCUAUAGUGGAUGCUUUGCUUUCUACCUACUCCAUAACACCGACAGCUCUCCCCCCUAAAAUAAGGGUGACUCAACUAGAGGUCGUGUAAAACACGUGUACUAUGGACUUAUUGCAAAAAAAGGCCUGCGGGUAGACACAUGAUGCCAAAUAUAAAAGCGGUAAUAUAUAGGAUAAAUACUGUACACAAAGAGCAUGAAAACGCACAACAGUGAUAACAAUAACACAAACAAUAAUCACAAACAAUGUUUAUACACCCAUAAUACCAAACAAAGCCGAUACGACUCAAAAAAUAAGACUGAAUUCUGAAAACAUCCCCAGCAGAGUCACCAGAGCUGUCGCACCCCUUUUUUUUGACUCCAAAAAUAUAUAUUUUUAAGUUUGAAAGGGUUUUUAUUAUUAAAGUGACAAAAGAUUAAAAAUUUAUUUCGAAAAGUACUUUUUACAUUUUAAUUCAGAGUCGCCAGUUGACAUAAAUCGGGUGUGCCAAGUCACCUUUGAAAAUCCUUUUCAAAAAUAGUAUGACUCUAUAAACUGAUCGGCAAAUAGAGAUUCCGACUAAGGAAUUCUGUUGAUUGAAGGGAAGGUGUUAGGCACCCCUCGAUCCCGUGGUUCGACCACGGUCGCUUGAUAGAGCGUAUCGGCUAAUUUAACACUACGAAUGUAUAAGCCACACAAAACACACAAACAAACAUUAAACAAAAAUCCAAAACCAAAAUAAUAAUGUUCAGUCCAACUAUACAGUCCAAAAAUAGAAAAAUGCGAGAAAAGAAAUCCUAUUCUAUCCUACGCUAACCUAACUACGCUCCCGCGCUUUACCCGAUGCCUCGGGCCUUCAUCACGAAUGUCUUCCAUCAACAUAAUACGUCGGGGCAUUCCCCAGAAAAUAGACAUAAAUCCUCGGGGCAUUCCCUGGCCAAAUAGUACAUUUUAAUCUAAAAAUAAUAAAUUAUAAAACGUUCAACACACAUUUCACAUUCUAACAUUCCACAAGACACUUAAUCCUAAAUUUGCUUACCCGAACCUACAUUGGCCUAUCCAUUUCAACAUAUCAUAAUUCCAUCACGUUCCACAUCAACAAUCGAACAAAAUUAAUCCUAAUAUACUCUCUUUGUUAAAUUUUUAAUUCCCUCCCCAACUUUCUUUUUAUCGAUCACGCCAUUAAAACUAAUCAUAUUCAUUCCUCAACAACCAAAGUUACAUCAUCAAGCGCAUAGUCAUAACAUCAACAACAUCGAGCAUUCAUAAUCACAACAUCGAUAUACCAAGUUAAAAUAAGAAAAGAUGCAAAAGUUGUAGAGAUGGACCUUCCGAUAAUCGGCUUUCGUUGAUAAUAAGAAUUAAAGAAGCCCGACCUUGGAACUUCAAAUAGAACCUCAACAGCGACGACUCUGACCUUGAUAUCGAGAAAACUCAAAAAAAAAACUCCAAAACUGAUCUUGAUGGACUGAUCGAUACGAACAGAAAAACCAAACCCCGAAACCGGAAUACCACCCAAUGAAUCCUGAAACCCGAUUUCGAUGAUGAAACGCAAAAUAGAAGAACCCAAAACUCCAAUACACGACGGAACCUGAAAACCAGUAUAACCAGAGCUAACAAAAUCAUGAGACUAAAAAAUUUGGACCAGGUUUUAAUGAGCUGGAACAGAAUUGAAAACAAAUCGAGAUUCGCUUGACUGUUUUAAGUCGACACAACUCCUGUAACCUCAGCGAUGACUGAAAAUGACAAAGAAAUACUGAUUAUGAUGUAUUGCGAUGGUGACCAGAUUCAUGAUGGCUUUGAUGCAUUUUCGACAAGUUUGUCGCCGGAACAGUAACCAACUCAUGAACUCGCGUUCUCUCAGCUCUCACGGCCCCUCUACUUUGUUCUCUCACUCGUUGUUCAAAUCUCUCUCUUGUUCAAUCUAUCUCAGAUCUGGGUGUGUGCGUGAGUUCUGGUGAGGAUAAUUGUGGAGAAGAUAAUAGAUAUUUGGUGCGAAGAAGAAGGACAGGAGAAGAGAAAAAAAUUGGCAUCCCCCCUUUUCCUAUGUCUGUCCCCUUUGUUAUAUAUAAUGAAAAAAGAAUGAGUACUACCCUUCCUGGAAGGUUCCUCUUAUUUUUGUUUUUAGUCCAUGUUUCUUUCUUUGUGGAUAAGAAAAAGAGAGGGUGAGAUGUUGUUUUUUAAUUGGAGGGGUAAUGGUUAGGUGUCUUAUUUUAAUUGAAAGGGUUGUUAGGAUAUUUAAAAGAAAUAAAGUUUGUUAGGGAUUUUGUUGAGAUUUUUUUUUAUUUUUUAUUUUUGUGGAAUGUAAUUACAUGGGUAGGGUAAGGUGAAAAUAGGUAAAAUGAUAUCGAGGAGGGACAAAAUUACGUGUCUACACACACCAUUAUCGUUAUUAAAAAGAAAUAUUGAAAACACAUUGAAACUAACAAAUUUUAGUCUUCAAUAGAAUAUAUUGUCACAGUGGAGCUAUUAAUUUGAGAAACUUUUACGUGAUGAAUAUUUGAACCUUUGCAUUGAUGGAGAAGAAGUGUGUGUUUGUAAAAGAAGUCAUAUGUUCAUUGAAAAAGUUUGAUAAAACCCUUGCUUAAAUAAGGUGAAAUUUUAAUUUCUUUUUGUUUUUAUUUUUUUCUGUUGGAUACAGAAGUUUUUCAUAGUUUUUACAUCUUAAUCAAUUUGGUAGUAAUUUAAAUCAUAAUAAGAGACUAAUAUAAAAAGAAUAAAAGAGAUGAAAACUGAUUUCUAAUAUACUACGUAUUAAAAUUCCAUGAACCGAAAGGACAUAAAUCUAAUUUGCUCGCAAAGAAAAAGAGAAAUUGUUCAAGGAGAAUUAGUAGAAGUGUUUAAUUAAUCUCACAGUAGACAAUAAUUAAAUGACAAUUGCUGGAUAAAAUAAGGAAAAAGAUAAAAAGAAUUACCAUAUGUUUUAGGAGUCCUAAUUUUAUUUUAUCACGAUUCUUUCCAUAUAUUUAGGAGUUAAUAUUAUAAAUAAAAUUAAUUAAUAAUUCAAAAAAAUAAGUAAAAAGACGAUUUUGUCUAAAGAAGGGACUUUUAAUGAAGGACAAAAAACUCAAACAUGAUUUAUAAGGCUGUUCAUACUUUUAAGAUAAUAGAGAUAGAAGAGGUGGUUUCAACCACCUCUUACGUAAUUACCAAAACACCCCUCUGCUCCCAUUUAAUUACAUAUCAUAUCCUAAUAUAUAAUAAUUCCAUUAUUUCAUUAAAAUGGUUAAAUAUUUAAUAUAUUCUAUUAAUUUAUAUUAAUUAACUAUAACUACAUAUUGGAAGUAAAAAAAAUUAUUUAUUUAAUUGACUAUCAUGUUUAAAACUAAUUUAUUAUCACAAAUCACAAUAAUUAAUAACUUAAAAUAUUUAAAAGACAUAUAGAAAUUUUAUUGACUCUCAUUAUUUUAACAAUGCCACAUAAAUUGAGAUAAAAGAAAAAGUACUGCAAAUCAUAAUAAUUAACAACUUAAAAUAUUUAAAAGAUAUAAAAAAAUUUAGUUGACUCUCAAAAUUGUAUCGAAGCCACAUAAAUUGGGACAUAAGGAGUAAAUAUAUUAUUUGAUAAAUACAUAAAAAUUAUUAUAAAUCACAAUAAUUAACAAGUUAAAAUAUUUUUUUAAAAAUAAAUAAAAGUUCUAUUCAACUCUCAAAAUUUUAUCGGUGCAACAUAAAUCAUGACCAAAUAAAAAAUUAUAUUAAUUAANNNNNNNNNNNNNNNNNNNNNNNNNNNNNNNNNNNNNNNNNNNNNNNNNNNNNNNNNNNNNNNNNNNNNNNNNNNNNNNNNNNNNNNNNNNNNNNNNNNNNNNNNNNNNNNNNNNNNNNNNNNNNNNNNNNNNNNNNNNNNNNNNNNNNNNNNNNNNNNNNNNNNNNNNNNNNNNNNNNNNNNNNNNNNNNNNNNNNNNNNNNNNNNNNNNNNNNNNNNNNNNNNNNNNNNNNNNNNNNNNNNNNNNNNNNNNNNNNNNNNNNNNNNNNNNNNNNNNNNNNNNNNNNNNNNNNNNNNNNNNNNNNNNNNNNNNNNNNNNNNNNNNNNNNNNNNNNNAGUCAUCUAGGUAUUAAGAAAAUAAAUAAUAUUUAAUAAAAAAUAAAAUAGACAUAAAAUGUGAAAUUAAAUCUUAAUGUUUUAAAUUAAAAUUUUCAUCUUUCGAACGAUGAUUUUACUAUAUCACUCCUUGUUAUAAGUCAUUUAUGUAUUAGACGAAUAAGAAUAACAAAAUGAUAUGUCAACAUAAAAUAUUUGAUUGACUAUCAAAAUUAUAUUAGUGUCACAUAAAUUGAGACGGGACAGCAAAAGAUAUAAAACAACAUAUAUUAUUUGAAAAUAAAAUAAAAAGUACUGUAAAUAACAAUAAUUAACAAAAAAAAUUUAAAAAUUAACUGAUUUCUGCUUCAACUGCUUCAAUCAUGAUUUUAAUGUACAGUGAUAUUUAAAGAGAGUAAAAUGGCAUAAUGAGAUUUAAAGAGAAUAAAAUGUAUGUAGUAAAGUGUGAGAAGAAUAAAACAUAAGUAAAUUUUAUUACUAUAUUUUAAAGAAAUUAAAGAAAAGAAUUAUAAAGAUUAUAUACAAAAGAUUUUUAUAAACUAAUUUAAAUAUAAAUAAAGUAAAUUUAGGUACAAAAAAUGUGUAUCUAUCACAACUGUGCUACCAAAUACUUCGCAUUUUCUUAACCUCUUUUCCUGUGUUAAAAAUAAUAAUUAAACAAAACAAUAUCGAAUUUAAGUUGUGUAUUAUCUUUAUCGGGAAAGUUUACAUGAUUCUUAAUCUUUGUAAUAUUGAAAAUCAAUAAUCUGCUGGAUAUUUGAUUUAAGCUAUUUCAUCAGAUUUACGCCUAUUUUUUCUUUAUAUUUCUGAUCGCAAAAUUCAACAAAAAGGUUAAAAAAAGGUUCCAAUUGUGACCCCCUCAGCUCACUCAUACUAAUAAAAAUAUUUUACUGCUCAAACUUUCUAUUCCAAGAUAAAUCCUAAAACUUAAAACUUGCAAUCCACAUGUUCUACACGGGCCUUACACUUCUAGUUUUGUAAGAAAGAUGGGGUGUGUCGAUGGGUUUUCUUUUGAAAAAUGUGUAUGCAUGGUGUGUAUUAGAAAGAGUAAUCACGCGUAUUGUGCUUUGAGAAUUUAACCAAAACUGAUCCAUUUGAUUAGAAGAUCAGACAGCUAAAACAAAUACUCUGAAAAAAAAAUAUAAAUUUAUAUAUAUAGUUUGAAUUUAAUUUGAAAAAUAAAAGGAAGUGAGACAAAAUACAUAAAUAAACAGAUAAUUAAUUAGAUCAAAAUUAUAUAUACCUACAUAUGUGUAUAUAUAAAAAUAGCUGAAAAUUUCGGAACCCUCUGAUUAGAAAGUAAUCAGCAGAUCGGAUUAAUACAUUGAUGAAUUUUUUUUUUCGCUGGUGAAGAAACGAUUGAUUUGUUGAUAUUCUGUGGGGUGAAUUGAUAAAGUGGAUGUGGGAAUUAGACCGGGUUUUGAGCUAAUUUUAGCAAUUGGGUUUGAAUAAAACAAAGUUGAAAAUGUAAUAAUGUUGGCUCGAACGCUCCUUUUCUACUGAAAUUAAUCUUAUCGAUGUCUCUUGCUACCCUAAAAAUUAUUUUCAGUAUAACGUAUAUAAGUUAUAUAAGUAAUUUAGUAUACACAUCCAAUUUGAUAAUUUGUAACUUUAAUUUUAUAAUAUUGACAAUAUAUAUAUAUAUAUAUAUAUAUAUAUAUAUAUACACACACACACAUAUAGAUAAUAUUAUAUACAUUAUGUUAAUAAUUAUAUGUAAGAUUAUAGUAAAAUAUAUAUGUACGCAUAAAUUAAGGACAUAUAUAUUAUAAGAAUAUAUAGUAGCAAUAGAUCAUCCGAAAAGAUAAAAUUAGACAAAAUGUGAAUGCGAUUAAAAUAUUUUUGUCUGAUUUUUGAUGUUAAAAAUAAUUAAUUUAAAAUAUUUUACAAAAUGAUAGAAAAAUAUAUCCUCUUUUUUAUUCUUCUCAAAAUUCUCAGAAAUAGAAACAAAAAUACAAAUUUAUUUUUGAAAAACUAUUUAGGGUCGAGGAGCACUGAAAAAAAUUAAAGGGAACAGAGCAAGCCAAAAUUGGGUGUCAACAGUUGCCCCCGAUUCACCGAAGAUUAAUGUUAAAAUCUUUGGGCAAUCCCGUUGACGUAUCCAAUUUUAUCUUGGGCGAAAAGAAAUUUUGAAAGAUUAUGGACGAGCUUUGGUUUCUGAACUGCCUACAUAUCUCGAGUUUUACGAGAAGUCAGGCCAUUUGUAGUUUGAAUAAUAGCAAAUUUUGAUAAAUAUCAAAAUUUGCCCAGUGUAGAAUCAUGGUGACACUGGGUUUUUCUGGUGCUGAUUCCUAAUAUCUGGGCACGAACGAAAUCAUGGCUGUGUUUAUCCCUGAAUUGGCUAUUCGAAAUAGCUGGGAAUAAGGAGAUAUUGGAUAGCAAUACCUUCUGAGGAAUUUGAGAAGGAAAAAGGAUCGUGGAUUUUCAAAAAUUACCCCAGUGUCGGAUUGAGACGGCAUUGGGUGAUGACACUAAGGAAAAAAUGAAAUGAUUGAGCUGAGUUGAGUUUCUUCGCCCGAAUCCUUGACGUAGCUAGAGAUUCUUGACAUUCCGCUAGCUUUCCCCAGUUUGCUGCAAGAGGGUAGUUCUAUGUUGUAGUGCAUAUUCCUACAAGACAUAAAAAAGGGUAAAAAGUACCUGUUGGUCAAAAAUCGUAAAUUGAAACUCUAAUGUGAAGAGUAGAGUAUAAAUAAUCAAACAAAUAUUAGCGUCUCUGUCAUGGUGGGUGAAUGUAUUAUAGGUAUGAUUGGUGAUGUGUCUUGCGCUGUAGAGGUUUCUGACCGGUAGUAUGAUUGCUGAAAAUGUAAAGUGCUCCAUUUGGUGAGACAGUUGGAUGAGGAAGUGAAAGUUGUGUUAUAUGCCCUAUUUUUGGGGGCGGGCUUUCCCUAUCCCAUUGUUCGGGGCGAACGUGUUCUAUCCCAUUGUUUGGGGAGGACAUGCCCUGUCCUAUUAUUUGGGGCGGACUUGCCCUGUCCUAUAUAUGAGGCAGACUUCCUUUUUUCUAUUAUUCGGGGUGGACUUUCCCUGUCCUAUUGUUCGGGAUGGACUUGCCCUGUCCUAUUGUUCAGGGUGGACUUGCCCGUAUUUAUUAUGUUAGAGUUUUGUGGAAAAUUUGUUGGUACUUGAUGGCCGAAGCUUAACAGGAAUAUCUUUUUAAUGUGACCUACAAAAAAAUCAAGAAAUUUCUUUUAGAGCUAUAAAGUAUUAGCGAAUAAAUUGAUAAAACCUAGACUCCUGCCUUGUGAUAGCGAUGCGAUGUUGAGCUUCUGAUGGAAUGUUGUAAGAUGUUUGUUACAUGCUUCCUUGAGCAUUAUCGUGACCUAUAAAAUUUGAGAAAAUUCUUUAGUCUCUUGGUAUAAUUAUAAAUAAAUUGACGAUACUUGGGUGUUCAUCUCGUGAUGGUGAGGCAAUAUUUGAGCUUCCAAUAUAUUUGAACUUUGUUGUAGCAUCGUUGUUCCUGCUCUUAAAGAAAGUUUCUUAGUUUGGGGAGAGGGUGUUGAUUCUAUACUGAUCGAGAACUCAGCCUAGCAUCUGUAUCGUCUUUCUACCCUCUAACAAAUGAGAAUCUAUUUGGUAGAUUAAAGAUGUAGAGUAGUGACGCUUCAUGAUUCCAAAUGACGAGCCCAUACUAGUAUAUCUUUGAGUGGGGGACUUUUUCUAUCUUGAUCUUUGCUUUCGACUUCUGUCAAAGCGACGCAAUUGAUGUAGCUUGAGAUGACAAAUAAAACUUUUGAAAAGAUAGAAAGAUUAUGUUAUUGAUAUGACCGAUCAUGACGGGCUGCCUACGUAUGCUAGAACACGAAUCAGGUCUUAACGUAGUUUCGUGUAUGGAGAAUCAAGAAAAUUUAGAGGGGAUUUAAGAAAAUUUGGCCAUAGAGGUGGGUAGGUGGAGAAUGGUAAAAUUGUAAUUUAUGAGCUUGCCUUUUAAAGGCUCAUUUGGUCACUUCCAAGAGGUGUCUCUUAUGUAAGUCUUCGACAUCCUAUCAUUUUUCUGAAUAGCAUCUUGGAUCGAUGCCUUUGUUAAUCAAGUUUUGAAGUUUUUAUACCAAGGUCGGUUCUUCGUGACAUGAUUUUGAGAGAGCAGUGAACGCCAUGUGUAAGUUAUCUCCAUAUGUAUUCUUGAUUGAAGCAAGAGGCUUGGAUACAUGCACGAGUCUUCCUUGCGUAAAAUCUGACUAUUUCUUAGGCGUCUCUUAGAUAGUCUCCUUAUCUUGUGAACAUUUUUGUACAUGAACUCUUUUUGGGUCCAUUACAGUCAUGGAAUCAACCAAUUUAGACAUCAUUUCAUGAUUGAUAUAUUAGUCGUAAUCCAAGCUUGAAUACUUUUGAGCGUAUUUUUUGAAAUCCUUUUGAGAAUUGUGGGUAUUGAUUAUCAUUCCUUGUUACAUGCACUUUCUUUCCAGUCCUUUAAUAGGCAUGUGCCACCUGAAGAUCCGGUUGACCUCCUUAUGGCUGACGUAACGAGUAUUCGAUCUUGCACUGAUCGUCGAUGUAAUUCUGAGGUGUUUUGAUUGAUAGUAUCUUUUAACAGUAUUUGUAGAGAAGAUCUUUGGUUAAGUGGUUUAAGGGUCUUCCAUAUUAACCCUUGGUGCAUUUCUUUCGAUAUUGUAGAAAAAAUGUUCCCCGUUGAUGCCUUGCAAUUUAGUGAUGACUUGCAUUAUUUGGUAUGAAUCAACCUUGGUUGUAACACUUCCAAGUUAAACGUCCUAGACUUUAUUGAUUUUUGGAGCAUCUUCUAAAUUUGCCUUCAUCUUUCUGAGGGACUUUACCUAACGAUCCUUUGUCAUGGACCUAAGGGCUUUAAUUGCGUAUCUACGAAAAUAAUUAACGGGGUCUUCUAGAUCUCGUCAUGCUCAAAUUCUGCUUGCCAUUAAGGAAAGAUAGAAUUUGUAUUUAAAGGGACCAAGCCUUAUAUAAGAUGCCUACGUAUCAUACCGAGGGAAAUUAGGUCGCACGUAGUUCGAAUUACAAAAGAAGAAGUGAUUCUACUUAAGUAACCCGAUGAGGGAUGUCUACGUAUCUCACUAUGAGAAAUCAGGCCAGAACAUAGUUUUGUUACAUAAUAAUUAGAAGAAAAUCUUAUGCCUUCAAAUAUAGGACUCUAUUGAUUGUUUCUGGGUCGAUCAACUUGGAUUCAUCUAUAAUUGUGUUCUCGCUAAAGUUAGCACUUCUCUGUAGAGUAGAUUAUUAGAAGGCCCUGCUGGCUCAACGUGGAGGAUGGUGUCCCUCAUGCCAUAUACACUCCUUAUUUUCGUGAUUGGGCAAUGGAUCAUUAUUUGCAUUUGGUUGCAGUACGUUAUGUUGGAUUUCCCCGACCUUGAUCAAGAACUAAAUUCUUUACCUUAACCUAUUACAAUCUUUAGUAUCGUGCCCCUGAACUCCAUAAUGGAAAAUACAUCGCUUUAUUUCAUCAAACCAUUUAAGUAAUGGGUUAGGAAUCUUCCCCAGCUCGGGUUGCAAUAAAUUUACAACUCUCAGUCUCUCAAACAAAAGUGUCAUUAGUUCAACAAUUUGAGUGCGACUUUGAUUGCGCUUACCCUUUGAAUUUUGUCUUAGCGCAAAAGGUGUCUGAUUUUGAUAAACUGAUACUUGGAUUGGUACACAUGGAUGUGAUGGAUUUUGAUGUGUGGGAGCUUGGGGUUGAAGGUAAUUUUUUGGAAUUGUAGGCAUGAUGUAGCUUGUGAUUCAAUAUUUGCAUCAGUUCGUUUUCAGGAUUUUGAAGUGAUUAGGAUGAUUCAAGUUUUGAAAAGUGCGGUAUUACAAUAGAUACUUCUUCUUCAUUCUCCACCUUGGCAUCUCUGAUGAACUCCAACAGGGUAGACUCGCUCUAGUUGUUUGUCAAAUUAAUCUUUUCAGCGUUAAUUGUGCCUUCUACAAAAUUCCCCAUUUGACGCAAUCAAUAAACUUUUGCCCUAAUGUGGACAUAAUCCUUUUGAAAUAGACCCGUUCUUGACCGCGAAUAAAAUAUUUUGUCAAUUCGUUUUCGGCCAUUGGUGGAUGGACUUUUCCUACCUUAGACCUCCAUCGUCGAUCAUAUUUCUGGAAUGAUUCAGAGGGCUUCUUCUGUAUACUAAUGAGGGAAAGUUGAUUAGGUACGAUUUCUGUGUUAAACUUGAAACGAUUUAUAAAGUCUUCAGCCAUGUCGCUCUAUUGAUGCCAAAGAAGAGGGUCUUGUUUGGUGUUCUAAGUGAGAGCCUUACCGAAUAGACUUCUAGUGAACAACUCCAUUAUGAGCUUUUUUUUUUUUUUUCAAUCCCUAACAAUUUUUCAGAAUAUGCUCUUAAAUGAGUAUGAGGAUCGCCGGUUCCAUCAAAUAAGUCAAACUUAGGUGCCUUGAACCCGAUUGGCAAACCAACAUCUAGUUGGAUACAUAAAUCUUCAUAGUCCAAAUGCUCGCUGCCUAGAGUUUCUUGGAGUGUCUCAUCAUCCUCUUUAGAUUGCGAAGCUCGUUUACGAUUACAUCGUCUUUUUUUGUCCUUGUAUUCAUCAAAAAUCUACUUUUAGGAGGUACGGUGAAAGUAGGUGUCUCAGUCACAUAUAUUGAAGAAAUAUAUGGUUUUCAAAAGGUAGCGUGAUUUGUUUAUUGAGUAUCACGAGCAGAUGUGAUAACAUUAGGAUGUGGGGUGCAAUGAGGAAAUUUAUGGGAGUUGAUGGGUGUAAAUGGGGAUGACGGAUUUGCUAAGUCAAUAACUAUUGCAGGACGUUUAAUUGACAGAUAAUGUGCAGGUAUUGGAGUUCCUAGUGACAAAAAAAAGAGGAGGGCACAAUAGAGUAGUCAUGGAUGGAUGUGUGGAGUCCCUUCCUUGGUGUAGUUCUCCUCUUAACGUCUCGAGUUAUUGUUCCAAGAGAAGAAUACAUUCAUCCUUAUCUGCACCAUCUUGUCUUUUGAAAGUCCCUGAUAUGUUUGCAUGUGUUGGGACACUUCUAGUCGGGUCGACGACAUUGGUAUUCGUUCUUGAGAUAUAGCUUAAGUUAUCUAAUUCUAUCGAUCAACACAAUCAGCCUCUGUUGGGGGAUAAUGCAAACAUAAAUGGAAGUUAAAGAGUUAGUUCACAUCGAUGGAAAAGUACAUUCGGACAAUUUUAAGUAAACGUGCCCUACAUUUGAAGCCUCUUUUUCUAGAGGUAGGCCUUAGUCCAAACUAACGGGCAAUAAGGGCAAUAGGCCCUAGAUUUUGACACAUAUUGGAUUUAGAAUAAUUUUAAGUUUUCUUGAAAAAGGGAUAUAUCCAAUAAGGGCCAUUGAGAGGCCUUGAUGAUGGUGAUAAAUAUGUACAGUCGGUAUGAGUUGAUAAAAGUGAGCUAAAAUGAUGCCUUUUAAAAAGUAAGUAUCUUAAGCCUCGUUAUUGAUGAUGAUCUUGUGAUAGAGAUGUCAAAUGCAAGAGGAGUAUUGAUGAUGCCUCACGCUCAUUGGCUGGAGAGAGUUAAAAGUGGGUGGAGAUGAAUAAUAUUACAUAUUCAUUAUCUUGAAGAAGGGUGUAAAAUAAAUACAGAGUUUUGAAUAAUAUUCUACUUCUGUUGACUAAAAAAAAGGAAUCAAAUGUUGGAAGAAUGCCUGACGACAUUUCAUUCUCCUUUGGAUAAAAAAGAAGUUAGACGUAGGUGAAGUUUUUUUGUUAUAUUCUCUAUUUGUGGACUUAAAGAGAAAGUCAAACGAAAGCAAAGAUUUUUGAGAACACUCGACUUUCAUGGACUUUGAGAAAGAUAUUGGUGAAGCAAAUUUUUAACAAUGUUCUGUAUUCGAGAAGGGAAUUUCAAAUGUUGGUGAGUUUUGAUAAUACUCUAUAUCUAUUGACUUGAAAAUAAUGUCGGAUGAAGGAAGAGUAAAAGAAGGUCAGUCUGAUUGUUCUGAAUACAUUAAUGUUCAAUUUCUAGACUAUAUGAAUCUGUUCUAACACAAAAUAUGUCUUAAAGGUUUCAUAACCUUCUGACAAAAGGGUGUUUUCCUAGUUGCGAAGACUAUACCUUGGACCGUUCCGCCUAUGGUUUAUGUAGCAUGACUUAUUUCUUGAGUAAGAUUUUUCUAGAUAUUUCAAAGUGGGACUAAAUUAUUGCGAGAAGGUACACAAACCUAAAUUCACCGACUCUGAAACUAUGAAAUUCAAAUAAGGUUUAGGGGAGUGUGAGACCCCCCCCACCCCCGCAUGAACAAUAAUAUGUGAAGUGUGUACGGUAAAGGACUCGAUAGAAAAAUGCAAAUGAGAUAGCAGUAACAGGUAGUGUUGAUCAAACAAAUAAGGUACGCAGGUUUGGAUUUGGCUUGCGUCCUUUCAGACAAAGCAUGAUAUAAACAUAAAUGUUGUACAAGAAAUAGACAAAUAUCCUAAAUAAUAUUCCUAAACUAAGUUUGCUAAGAUCAAAACCUAAGUUUGUCCCCACCAGAGUCGCCAUUCUGUCUCGCCCUAUUUCGAAUUGGUCGAAACAACACACAACAUAUGGUGGCAUUUUCGUGACUCUUGUAUUUUGAAAAUUCAUUUUUUAGAGUUGCCUCCUAACUUUUAGGAAAAUUAGGAAAAAACCAUUUUGUAUGUAAAACUCUAUUUUGGUGUCACGAUCCGAGACUACCCCCUAGCCGUAACACGAUACUUGGUACCAUAAGUGAUCCCAAGCUAACCCAUGAACUGGCAUACUAUUGAGCAAUUGAUUUAUAGUAUAUUAAAUAACUGGUUCUACUGUGUGGAAAUAUAAUCAUGAUAAAAUCUGGAUAAAACAAUACUGAUAAAAUUUACAAUCUGAUAAAACUAAAGAGAGAACUGAAAUUACAUGACUGACUCUGAUUGACAUCUAUGAAGCCUCUAUUAUACUGACUAUAGAUAGCUGGAACAUGAAUCCAGCUACCACUAAUCAAUACAUAUGAGUAAUAAAGUAAAGUACAUGAAUAACAUCUGAAUGAAGUCCCCAAAAUAGGAGAGCUCAUCACCUGUUAGCUGGAACUGCAACUGUCUGAUCAUGGUGUGUGGACUAUAACGGGUACCUACAUUAUGAAACAAUAUAUCCACACAAAUAUAUAUGUGGAUCAAUACUUUUGAAACGUACUUAGUAAGCGGGGGUGAAUGCAAUAAGUAAAAACUGAUUUAUACGUAAUCUUAGAACAUGUAUGCUAAGUAUAAGUAGACUCACUAAGAGAUUGAAAUAAAUUGAAAGCUGAAAUAUCUUAAAACAUGAGCAACAAACAUAAUCUGAUAAGCUGGUGAAUCACUACACUUAGUUUCUUAGAACUUUACUUUUAUAAUAUAAGUAGAAUUUAAGCUGGAAGACAGUAAAACAUGGGUACUAUGUGAAUACUGGGUCUGAAACUACGAAGUGGAAAUCCACAUAACUCAAGGAUCUCAAUACACAAAUAUACUGAGCAUGAAUGCAUGAAAACUAUGAUAUCCGAGAAUGCAAGACUAAGUGUAUAUCUGUUAUGUCACUGAGAUCAAUCCAAAAUCUAAAAGACUGAAAGAUAUAAAAUCUGAGAAUGCAUGACCAAACAUAUAACAUGAUUCUAAAAUAGUCUGUAAAAUGAAAUACUAAAAUUUGGUAGCUGAAUGACUGAUGAACUGUAUGCUAUGGUCAAACCUGAACUGAAUUCUAUAAUGAAUACUGAACUGAGACUAUGGGAGGUAUCAUCUAACCAAUAUGCCUCACUUUGAGUUAAGUGGUGUCCAACCUAUAACCCAGUUGGCAGGGUGUCAGCACCGUACCACGGGUACUAACAAUAGAUGUGUGGAUCCACUAAACUAAUGUCCUGAUGGACUAAUGAGUCACUGUCAUCUGGAAGGUGCUCUAAUGAGAUACGUGUUACCCUCAACUGACAGGUAAACACUUUAUCAACCCUCAUCUGGAAGGUUGAUAUCUCUAAUCUACGAUAGCUACAUAGUGCUAGAACUCAGGAACUGCUAUGAAAGGUCACACCCUCUACUGCCAUGUGAGCUCCCAUCCCUGAAUUCGUUGGGAGCUAAAUCCUACUCCCAAUUGAAUGAAACUGAUUACUGAACUGAACUAAGCUUAACUGAGCAAACUAUUGAUCAUGAUAACUAAUGUCCUUAACAUCAAGUAAAACUGGAACUUUCAUUAUAAAGGAGAUAAUCUGAAUAUGGGAAUAAAAUCAUGAUUCUGUCUAACUUGUUACUUGAAAAAGAAAAUCAUAUAAAACACAUAGGUAUCGGGUGCUCAUAACCCACCCGCACUGAAUGAGUACAAAAUACGAUAUCAAUCUUGAAACACUAAAAUAAGUGAUUAUGGUUCAAAGAUCCUAACAUGGGCAAUUCAUCAAACACAAAGGGAUCAUGAACUUGAACAUGGGAAUAUGAUGUACAUAUGAAUACAACAUGGGUGCAUGACUAAUUUCAUAAGUUGGGAAUUUAACACGAAAUCAAUGGGAUAGGACACAGAAACAUGCAACUCAAAGAAUAGAUAGAUUAAUUCACUUGGAAACACUUGUAGAUAUGGGAAAGUUCAUAACUCAAUAUUAUAACAUGAAAUUCAAUUGGAUACGUCAUGGGAAUCGAAACUUAAAGCAUGAGAUAACCUAACUUUUCAUAAAAACAUCCUUGGACAUGAAUUUAGUCAAAUUACAAAGGAAAUCCUGAUUUAAAUUCAUCUUGAACACAUGAUACUUUAUAAACAAAAGGAAAAGUUCAUAUCUUUAAUUAAAGAAAAGUUUUUUGGGCUCCAUGGGUGAAAGAGGACCCAUGGAUGAACUCCCACAUACCUUAAGCCCUUAUCUUUGGAAGGAAUCAUCAUUCCUGAAGCUUUCUUGAAGGUUCUUGAACUUGGAAAACUUGAAUUGUUGGUUUCUUUAGAGAGAAAGUAAUGAAAUUGAUGUUCUUGGGAGAUGAUUAGGGUUUCUCUGAGAGGAGAAUUGGAGAAGAAGGACAAUUAUAACCUAAAAUAUACCUCAAAUCGUGUUAUGGAUGACGAGGUUGAGGGGAAAAGACACAAUUUCUCCUUAGGCAAUUAAAUUCGUAGUUGGAAUAUGGUUAACAGGGUCACCGCAAUGCGGUCUUAUCGCAAUGACUUACUGGUUUUGACGAAAUUGAUCAUAAUUUUUCGCUCGAGUAUUGGAUUAAGGCAAAAUUGGUAUUGUUGGACAGAUAAUUCAAUUAUAUACAAUUUAGUGAGUAUUGAGCUGAAAAAAUCCACGUAUAUAAAAAGUUAUACACAUUCAAAGUUGACUCUUAUAAAAUCAAAUACCAAACUUUGGACAAAUCAAAGGCUCUUAGCUUAACUCUGUUCUAUGUGAUUCCUAUGAACAUUCUUUACCUCAUAAGAACUUCACACACUAGGAUAAAGAUCAUGACACAUGCAUUCAAUUAUAAAUCAAGAACUGGCGAAAAAUACCUUUACCACGAUGCGAUGUACGUGCCAAAUAAAAUAUCACCGUGACGCAACCCUAUCGCGGUGACUUGCUGAAUUCGUGAUCCAAACGUGUCCCAAACCUUGUCCGAAAAAUUAAAAACUCCCCCAAGACAUACUUCUUAAAUCCUUGAACAUGAAUUAACUCAAAAACUAAUGUCUCGGGGUCGGAAAGACCAAAAUGAAAAUCAUCAAUGUUUAGGAGUCUUGAAAAUGAAUAAGUCCCCAACACUUCGUGAAAAUUUCAAGACAUAAGCCCCUUAAGCAUGCAACUAAGAGAUGAAUCAAGCUAGGAUAAGUAUUCUAGUAGCUUUAAAUGUAAAAACAGAGAGGCUAUAGUAUUUUUGGUAUAAAUAAGGGAAUGGAGAGAAGUGAAUAUCUGUUUUACUAUCACCUGUGAUGAAGUGACAUAUACAAUAUAUAAAAAUACACAUAAGCAACAACAUAUGGGAACACAUUAGUUUUGAUUGAUAUAAUAUUAGUGUUGGGUACUAUAUAGUUUUGAUGAUUGACAAACUGACACAUGAAUGUAACAUAUUACUUGAGUUGGUCCAUGCAUAGGAAAGCAGGUUUUCAGUUUAACUGAUAGAUGCAGACAAAAUUGCUUAAAGACAAGAACGAAUAAGAAAGCCUAAUUCUAAUAUACUCAAGCUACUGAUCAUGUGGGGAAUAUAACAAGUUGAAUUUGAUUCAAACACUUAAUGAUAAGGUAAAGCAAUUUGAGUUGAAAAAGGAGUCCUACGUGAAGAAGGAGUUUCACUUCUGAGUCUAUCUUGAAGAGUCCUAUGUGUGGGAGGAGAAAGAUCCUGAUAAAUAAGCAUAUGGUGAUUUAAAAAAUUUGGAGUUUUACUACAACACUAAGGAGACAGGAGUUGGAAUAAAAGAAAGAGUCUCACUUGAAGUAGAACUCUAUGUAAUGAGAGUUUUGAUUAAAGGAGGAGUUUAAAAUAAAGAAUGACUUUUUGGAGAGCUGUGCUUAAAUAGAAGAUGCAUCAUUCAGAGUAAUUCACACACUUACAAAAAAAGUAAAAAAGCACAAUCGAUAGAUUGACUUCACGAAGUGCUACUUUAUCACUGAAGAAACAUAUUACAGAACCUGGUCCUAAGUAUAGAAUUCAUCUAAGAGUUUUAGAUUUGAUUUAAAGAGUUGCUCAUUGUGUUUGAGCUAUUAAUGUAAUAUUAGUUUUAGUGUGUUAUAAACUGAAUUAGGAGAUAGUCUUCGAGUUGGGGAAAACUCAAAGACUUUGGAAACGCAUACCUUGGGAGGUGUGUGUGUAUUUAGGAAUUAGAGUUUAUAAUUCCUAGUUGUUGAGUUAAAGGAAUUAGAGUUUAUAAUUCCGAGUUGUUGAGUUAUAGGGAUUAGAGUUUAUAAUUCCUAUUUGUUAGUUACAAGAGUUUUGUAAUCAGUCGUUGUUGAGGCUCAGAGUUAUUUAGUGAAGUUGGGGUUAAAUCAUGUAGAGGUGCAUGUCGUGGUUUUUUACACCUUUUGACCCGGGCGUCUUCCACGUAAAAAUCAUUGUGUUCUAUACUUUCUGUUUUACUACUUCUUUGGAACAUGUAUGUGGAAUACGUAAGGCAACCCGUUCCAUCGAUAAGCAAGAGUUAGGCGAAAAUAAGAUAAUCAGUAGGGCACAAACUCUAACAAGUGGUAUCAGAGAGAGGUUGUCUUAAAAAGGGCUAGCACCUAAGACAAAGAUCAAUAUGAUGAAUUCCGCACCACCUACUGGUCACAGUGAAGGUUAAUCCACUAUUAGACCUCCACUCUUUGAUGGUUCUCACUUCAUUUGGUUGAAAGCUUGGAUGGAAACAUUCAUUCAAGGGAAAUACUACGAGUUAUGGGAUAGGAUCACUGAUGGUCCUACUAUUCCAAUGAAGUUAGAAUAUGUGAAAUAGGUCAAGAAAGUAAGAAGUGAAUUCACUCUUGAUGACUUAUUGGCAUUAAAGAAAAAUGCUAAGGCCAAAAAUAUUUUGGUCUGUGGAUUAGGACCUGCUAAAUACAACAGGGUAUCAAUAUACACCACUGCUAAGCAAAUUUGGGAUGCUCUAGUAAAUGCUCAUGAAGGCAGAUCUCAAGUAAGAAAAUUUAGAAUUUCUCUUCUCUUCACUGAGUAUGAGGCAUUUAAGAUGAAGGAGAAUGAAACCUUGUAUGAGAUGAUGACAAGGCUUACUACCUUAACAAAUGAGCUGACCUCCUUAGGAAAAGCUAUAUCUGAAGAAGAACAAGUCGAAAAGGUACUGAGGGUAUUACCAAAAUCAAAGUGGAAUGUUAAGGUAACUGCAAUCAGGGAAGCAAAUAUGGAUCUUAUAGGCAUGACCCUAGAUGAAUUAGUGGGGAAUUUAAGAACUUAUGAAAUAGAAAUUGAUGGAACUAAAGUGCUAUAAUCCCCAGAGAAUACCUUAGCUCUGAAGGCAUCUUACAGUGAUGAAGAAAUUAAACUUGAUAAAGAAUAAGUUGCCUUUAUAGCUAAGAACUUCAGCAAAUUCUUCAAAAAGAAGAAGGGAAUAGGUAGCAAGAAAUGGUUAAAUGAAAAUCUAAAUGGAUGCUACAAGUGUGAUAAGACUGAUCAUUAUAUCAUGGAUUGUCCUGUCUGGGAAAUAGAAUGGAGAAAGAAAAAGAAUGAAAAGGAACUGAAAGAAAAAAAAAGAGGGAAGAAUAUGCAAUGGUAGAAGCUUGGGGAUUUGACUUAGAUGAUGAUGAAGUUGAUGAAGUAGCACUCAUGGCUCUUGGAGAUUCAGACUUGGAGGAAGAAGAUGAUGCUUCUAAGGUAAGUAUACUUGAACUUAAAGAAAAGUUGCAUUUAUUUUCUAAAAUAAAACUUAUUUCCUUGAUGAGUGCACUAAUUGAUGACUUCCAAGAAUUAAUUUCUGUUAGAGAUGAGCUGUUCAAUAUUCUUGCAAGAAUCAAAUUUGAUUUUAUUGAUGUAGAAGCUUGCAAGAACAUUGUUGAACAGGAAAACUGCUCUCUCAAGAAAUAGGUUGAGCAACUUGAUUCUUUAAAUAAUGAUCUUAAGUUUGAAGUUCUAAAAUUGACACUCUCUGAAAAAUGAAAAAACACCAAGAGUAAACAACAAGAAAAAGUUGAACUUAAAUUGGUAUGCAAUAAUGCAACAGAAUGGUGAAUAAACUGAGUCAAGAAGUCUCUAAACUAAAACUUGACCUUGAAAGAGCAAACAGGUGGACAAAUUCCUGAAGAAUUAUUCAUAAGUUGAGUGAAAGAUAUCACAGUGAAAAAGCUGGUUUGGGUUUUCACAAAAGUCUUGAUGUUUAUCAAGACAUGCUAUAUCUGUGGAAACCUUGGACAUCUAACCAGUAAAUGUCCAGUUGCUGCCAAAAGCAGAUCCAACAGCCUAAAUCUGGCAAAUAAACUAUUUCAGACCAAGAAAAGGAUAACUAAACCUGGUCAGAGAAACAUGUCACGUAACCUGUUGCCUGCAUGGGCUAGAAGAAAUUUGAUUCAUUCAUUUACUCAUAAGAAAGGAACCAAGCUUAUCUGGGUGCCUAAAGUUAACCCCUAAUUUAUCUUGCAGGUGAGAGUGAAAGGAUGCAAGCAAAAUUUGUACAUAAAUAAAGUUUGCUCAAGGCAUAAGACUAGAAGAAAAUAAAGUUUCUUUCACUCACCACAUUUAAAGAGGGAAUGGAUUAUUUGAAAGAUGGCCAGAUUUGUAGUGCUCAUGUAAGGAGGAAGCAAGGGAGAUUUUAAAAAAAAUGAAAAAGAGGAUGACUGUGAAACUGAUGAGCAUGCACAGGAACAUGUUGUUCCACUUGGUUCAACUAUUGUACAGACUGAGGGCAUAUUAACGGAGAAACAACAAAUCAAGAGAUUUAUGCAUCAAUAACACUAACACAAGCUGAUGAUAAUUUUGUUGGUAAUUUAUAAGAAUUGGUGUUGUCACAAGAAUGUUGAGAUAUCUCAUGGGAAUCAAUGGCUUGAGACUUUGGUAUUCAAAUGAAAGUAAUUUCACUCUUGAGGGCUGUAAAAUUAUUGACUAUGUGGGUUACUUAAUUGACUGGAGAAGCACCAAAGGCACUAAGUAGAGAACAGUUUGAAAGGAAUAGAUUAGACUUGGGGAUGAUUAAAAUUGCAUGAACUCCCCUCAAUGAUUGACUAGAAUAAUCAUUUUUCUUCUUAAUCUUAUUAGCUCAAAAGUUAUUCUAUUCAGUCUUGCACAUUUAGUUGUGUGUCCCAAUUCUUGAUUUUUGACUUUUCUAACCUCAUUUUGUAUUAGAUUGUGCAGAAAAAUAGGUAAAAGCAAGCAAUUAUGACUACAAAGUUCUUCUUAUCAGGUAUGUUCUACACUGACAUAAGCAUAGGCUAUCCAAGUUGAAACAGUUGAGCACAUCUGUCCAAUUCCACACACUUCAUCCUCUCAUUGUCUAAUAAAUCUAAUGAAUUGGUUGACCAAAAUUUGUUUGAUUCUCUCCAAAUGGGUGUGUACAAAUGUGUUAAUCUUAUAACAAAAAUUCCUUCUUCUUUCUCAACUAAAAUAUCAGUUGUUUACUAUGGAUUUUCUAAGCUAGAUCAUCAAUCACAUGAAACAUAUGUUUCUAAAGAAUGAAAAGGGAUAUUAUUUCCCUUUUAGUUCCUAAUUGGUUAUUUUUUUUAGGAAUUUUCAGUCCUAAAUUAGGUUUGAAUUAUAAAAAAAUAGAUGUUCUUGAACAGAUGAAAUAUGUUGCUCUACCUAUUUCAAUAAGGAGGGCUAACACUUAUUUGAAAUAAAAAAUCUGAACUAGAAGCUGUACAAGACAGUCAUGAAGUGGAAUAAGAGGUCCUUAAGGAUAGGAUCAUGACCUUGAAGCUUGACCUUGAUUGAUAGAGGGAUGAAAAUGUUGAAGUCAUUCAUCAAUUGACACAGUUGAUAUCACCUGUUCCACCUUCCUCAUCAGCUCCUCACUAUUUAUAUCCUUAGCCGUGUCCCAUUUUUAUACCAUAUUUUUUAAUGCUCAAUUAUUUUGCUCUGUUUAAUACUAGCUUAGGUUUAAUGUGGAACAUGCUCUGUCUGUUAAAUGAAAUGGUUAUCUUUGCUAAAUUGACUCAUUUUUGCUCUCUUUAAUACAUUACUAUGUUGGCUAGAGUCUUUGCCUGAUUGUUUUGGUGAUAGCCCCAGUGGUCAUGAAUAGCAUAACAAAUCACUUUGGCUAGUAUAUUAUUUUAUUGAAAUAGUUUUUCGAUGAUGCCAAAAGGGGAAAGAUAAUAGGAUUGUGCAAUGUUUAUAACCCAUUACUAACUUGUUUCAUUUUAGUGUUUUAUACUUUAGUGCCUACAGGUGAAAAUGGUUAAAUGCACAAGAAAGGAGGUUUGUCAUCAUCAAAAAGGGGGAAUUUGUUGGGUACUAUAUAGUUUUGAUGAUUAAGAAACUGACACAUCAAUGAAACAUGUUACUUGAGUUGGUCUACAAAUAGGAAAGCAGAUUUCCAGUUUCACUGAUAGAUGCAAAUAAGAUUGCUUAAAAAUAAGAACGAAUAAGAAAUGCUAAUUCUGAUAUACUGAAGCUACUGAUCAUGUGGGGAAUAUAACAAGUUGAAUUUGAUUCAAACACUUAAUGAUAAGGGAAAACAAUUUGAGUUGAAAAAGGAGUCCUACGUGAAGAAGGAGUUUCACUUCUGAGUAUAUCUUGAAGAGUCCUAUGUGUGGGAGGAGAAAGAUUCUGAUAAAUAAGUAUGUGCUAAUUCAAAAGAGUUGGAGUUUUACUACAACACUAAGGAGACAAGAGUUGGAAUUAAAGAAAGACUUACUUGAAGUAGAACUCUAUGUAAUGAGAGUUUUGAUUAAAGGAGGAAUUUAAAAUAAAGAAUGACUCUUUGGAGAGCUGUGCUCAAAUAGAAGAUGCAUAAUUCAUAGUAAUUCACACAUUUACAAAAAAAGCAAAAAGCACAAUCGAUAGAUUGACUUCACGAAGUGCUACUCAAUCACUGAAGAAACACAUUGAAGAACCUGGUCCUAAGUAUAUAAUUCAGCUAAGAGUUUUAGCUUUGAUUUUUAGAGUUGUUCAUUGUAUUUGAGCUAUUGAUGUAAUAUUAGUUUUAGCGUGUUGUAAACUGAAUUAGGAGAUAGUCUUUGAGUUGGGAAAAACUCAAAGACUUUGCGAAAGCAUACCUUGGGAGGUGUCUGUGUAGUUAGGAAUUAGAGUUUAUAAUUCCUAGUUGAGUCAAAGGAAUUAGAGAUUAUAAUUCCUAGUUGUUGAGUUAUAGGGAUUAGAGUUUAUAAUUCCUACUUGUUGGUUACAAGAGUUGUGUAAUCACUCGUUGUUGAGGCUUAGAGUUAUUUAGUGAAGUUGAGGUUAAAUCCUGUAGAGGUGCAGGUCAUGAUUUUUUACACCUUUUGACCCGGGUGUUUUCCACGUUAAAAUCAUUGUGUUCUUUACUUUCUGUACUACUUCCUUGGAACACGUAUGUGGAAUACGUAAGGCAACCCAUUCCAUCGAUAAGCAAGAGUUAGGCGAAAAUAAGAUAAUCAGUAGGGCACGAACUCAAUAGUUAGUUGAGAAAAUACUAAUAGGAGUAGUAGAUUAUAAGAGAAGGAAGAGGGACGCUGGACCCUUUUGAUGUUAGCAGGCUGGGUUGGAUGUGAACACAUACGAAUAGCUAUUAGUCGCUCCUCUGAAUUGGACCAAGAUGGAGUCAAAUCAUGACUCCAAAUGCGCUCUCGAGUGCACAUGUAAAAAUAGAGCAAGGAAAAAUAAAGAUUAGCAUGAAACUUCAAGUUUUAGCAUGUUAUUAAAGUGUAAAGAAAAGACAAUAAUCGUGUGAAUAACAUUACGGUCCUAAAAGUAAUCUAGAACUUUGAGACACAAUAUAAAUUUA